GUGCUGCUGGGCCCGCGCGAAUACCGAGACUGGGGACUGGGCCACGCGGGGGCGGGGGCGCCGGCCGGAGCAGCCCGGAGGGGGCGGGAAGGGGUUUCCCAGGGACCGCGGGGCGGGGUUUCGCCUCCCCCGGGGUGUGAGUCACUUGCCGGGACAGCUGUGGGCGUGUCUGGCUUUCCCCGCCCGGCCGGCCGGCCGGGUCCCGGCGCGCUCCUGGGGGCUGUAACGCCGGGUGUGAUUGGCCGUGGGGUUGAGUGGGCAGGUGCCGGUGGCCGGUGCUGGUGCGGGAGGUCGGUCUGGUUCUUCCAGGAACGGGGCGGGCCUGCCCCUGCCAGCGUGACCCCAUUGGGCACCACAGAUCGUGCCGCUACCGUGGUGCCUGAGGUCGUGGUGAUGGGCAGCGCACCCCUCUUUAUGGCGGGGGGGGGGGCCCAUCUGAGACCAGACAAACCCACACCUGGUUUUGUCUCGGUAUCGCGUGGGGGACAAACACCCCAAAAGAGGACUGUAGACUGGUUUGUAACUGGACGAAUGGCCUCUAACUCUGUGAUUAUGACUGUCUGUGAGGCUACAGGGAGGGAAUGGUGGAGCAGAGAAGCAGGACAGGUCUUUCUAACCUGUUGCAGCAGAAGACAUCAGAAAAACUCUUAAGACUGUGUAUUUAUCAGACUUCAGCUUCUAAUUUCUUUGAGUACAAUGCCAAGACCCACUCCUCAUAUGUCUCUUUUCUGUGGAUUUCCUAAGGAGUUAGAAGCUUAGUGGAAAAGUUCUGAAUUGGGAAACAUAUCUGCAAAUGAGUUACCUCCUCUAAUGCAAUGCUACAGUGCUAAAAUGUUUUUGGUGGCCCCUUACUUCCUGAAUUUGAUGAAUCGUCUGCACUAAAUCUGAAGUGAUGGAGUUAGGAGAGGUUGUAGGUAGUUGUGGGUAGAAUCAGGGGUGGAACCCAUAGUUGGCAGAGAAGGUUUUUUUCCCCUGUGGAUGCGUGAUCUGCGUUAUUGUACACAAAUUCCAUGUAGAGUAGUAGUGCGGAGCAAUCCUCUGGUUAACAUAACAUUGUAGAUAUUGCUCUAAAAUCUGAUUGACCCUUUCCAUCUGGCCAUUAGACUGAGGAUGGUAGGUGGAGGAGUAGUGAGGCUGG